CACACACACACACACACACACACACACUACAGUAGAGAGAGAGAGAGAGAGAGAGAGAGAGAAAAGGGUGGAUGUACCUGUUGGAGGACGAGCUCAUGUGAUCUUGCGCAGGGACACUGAGGAGCCAUAA